UCCUGGCUCAGGAUGAACGCUGGCGGCGUGCCUAAUACAUGCAAGUCGAACGAAUCUUCUUCGGAAGAUGAGUGGCGAACGGGUGAGUAAUACAUAGGUAACCUGCCCCUGUGCGGGGGAUAACAGGAGGAAACUCCUGCUAAUACCGCAUAGCCAUGAGCACCGCAUGGAGCUCAUGCCAAAUAUCCUUUACGGGAUAGCGCAGGGAUGGACCUAUGGCGCAUUAGCUAGUUGGCGGGGCAACGGCCCACCAAGGCAACGAUGCGUAGCCGGCCUGAGAGGGCGGACGGCCACAUUGGGACUGAGACACGGCCCAGACUCCUACGGGAGGCAGCAGUAGGGAAUUUUCGGCAAUGGGGGAAACCCUGACCGAGCAACGCCGCGUGAGCGAAGAAGGCCUUCGGGUCGUGAAGCUCUGUUGUAAAGGAAGAACGUCGCAUGCAGGAAAUGGUGUGCGAGUGACGGUACUUUACCAGAAAGCCACGGCUAACUACGUGCCAGCAGCCGCGGUAAUACGUAGGUGGCGAGCGUUAUCCGGAAUCAUUGGGCGUAAAGAGGGAGCAGGCGGCCGCAAGGGUCUGUGGUGAAAGACCGAAGCUAAACUUCGGUAAGCCAUGGAAACCGGGCGGCUAGAGUGCGGAAGAGGAUCGUGGAAUUCCAUGUGUAGCGGUGAAAUGCGUAGAUAUAUGGAGGAACACCAGUGGCGAAGGCGACGGUCUGGGCCGCAACUGACGCUCAUUCCCGAAAGCGUGGGGAGCAAAUAGGAUUAGAUACCCUAGUAGUCCACGCCGUAAACGAUGGUCACUAAGUGUCGGGGGUCAAACCCCGGUGCUGCAGUCAACGCAAUAAGUGACCCGCCUGAGUAGUACGUUCGCAAGAAUGAAACUCAAAGGAAUUGACGGA
rnacentral:rRNA from 1 species